AUCGCAUGGCAUAAUGGUUUGCGUAUUGGAUUACAACUCUGGAGACCAGGGUUCGAAUCCCUGCUCAGCUG